CAAUUUGUUCUCUGGAUACCUCAAGGCUGAUGCAUUCAUUCAUCUCCACAAUUGAGAGAGCCUUGCUAAUCUUCCUGACCAGUUAUGCCUUCUGAAGGAUAUCUCUAUUUUGUAGGCUUGUUAAUGCAAUCAGGUGAAGAUUUUUUUUUUUUUGAGGAUUUUAUUUUUUAAGUUAUUUCUGCACCUAAUGUGGGGCUCAAAGUCACAACACUAAAAAUCAAGAAUCACAUGUUUUAUGGACUGAGCCAGACCAGCGCUCCUGCCGUCAGCCUUUACAGCAUGUGGGACUGAGAACCAAGAAGAGUGAGGAAAUGAAGAAUGGAAACGCCAGUGAUGAGACACGAGCCAGGUGCCACGAGUUGCCCGGAUGCCAAGUCCCAGGACUGUCCAGUCUUCCACAUUGGAUCUGCAGCCGGCCUUCUAAAUAUUCUCGCGGUUAGAAAAUCUAUCCCCCAGACUCACAGAUGCUGUUCUCCCCCCACUGGCUCUGCACAGAACAUCAUUAUCUUUGCCGAGCUUCUGUCUCUAUGGCAAUAACAGAUGGGAAGUGCUGCGGAAUUAUUCAUGUUCAGCAAAGGAGGCAGUCAA